AUGCUUCACCAUGGAGGAACCUUAGAAACAAUACACUAAGUGAAAGAAGUCAAACAAAAAAGGCCGUACAAUAUGUGACUGCAUUCGUAGAACAUGUCCAGGAAAGCCAAAUCCAGACAGGGGAUUGGUGCUGUUGAGCUGAGGGGGUCACUGAAUCCAAGGCCACCUGUGGAGGGAAGAGUUGAGAUGUCAGUGGGAGCGUCCAGUGCCUUGCAAAAAGUUGCUUAACUUCGCACGGUGCCACCCAACAAAUAUUUGUGGAAUCAAAGACGGUGCGGUAGGCUGAAUAGUGGCUUCCAAAGACAUCCAUGUCCUAAUCCCCGGAGCC